GGGGGAGUGAUGAAAUGGUAGACAUAGUUGACUCAAAAUCAACCGCCCUAAAAGCGUGUGGGUUCGACUCCCAUCUCCCCUACCA
rnacentral:tRNA from 1 species